rnacentral:rRNA from 1 species
CAGCAGCCGCGGUAAUACGUAGGUGGCAAGCGUUGUCCGGAAUUAUUGGGCGUAAAGCGCGCGCAGGUGGUUUAAUAAGUCUGAUGUGAAAGCCCCCGGCUCAACCGGGGAGGGUCAUUGGAAACUGGGAAACUUGAGUGCAGAAGAGGAGAGUGGAAUUCCAUGUGUAGCGGUGAAAUGCGCAGAGAUAUGGAGGAACACCAGUGGCGAAGGCGACUUUCUGGUCUGUAACUGACGCUGAUGUGCGAAAGCGUGGGGAUCAAACAGGAUUAGAUACCCGAGUAGUCCCUGUCUCUUAUAC